GUUCCUGCUCCGCCAUGAUGGACGUCAAAACAACCAACGCGCUCUGAUAGAGCCUGCCAGAAAACAGAAAUCUGUAGCCUAAUAUCGCUUUUAUUUAGUUGAUUUCACUUUUAAAAUGGUCAUAGGGUGCUGCGCGGUCGUCUGCUGAAAAAGACAAGGAUGCAAACCAUUUUAUUUUAUAAGUUUUAAUGAGGAAAGAUGCCGAAGACGAUGGAUCGCAGCCGUUAAUCAUAAUGACCGUCAGCCCUCGGUGUAAUCGCGGAUUUGCAGCGAACACUUUUUACAAGAUUAAAGCCACCAGAUGCCCGGGAGAAACUGGCCAAACCCCCGUAAACUCACAGCUCUUUUUCUAGAGCUACCCUUUCUUGUGGAGAGCAGCAGGAAUGCCAGCCAUCUUCCCAUCAGCACGAGACGCCGCAACAUGUUCUCUUUAAAGAGGGUGUUUACAGUGAGCCGUUCCGCUGAUGUGGGAUAGAUUUAUUGCUUAUUUACUCUCAGGCUUGGCCUGGCUUUUUGUUGCUCCCCUUUCUGAUCACUUUCGAUGCCUCACGCCAGACCACGAAGUGAUGGCGGCAUGUAAACACAACCAAUGAGAGCUUGAGUCCAGGAAUGUGUGUUGGUGCUUGUGUUGGUGUGAGAACAGGGCAUGCAAUCUGUGCAAACACACCCAUGCCUGCAAAUGUGUUUGUGUAUUUAUACAGAGGAUCUGUACAUACAUUUAUGCAUCAGCACCACUAACUUGUGUAUUUUUAAACUUUUUUAGCAUUCCA